UACGGAGGGGGCUAGCGUUGUUCGGAAUUACUGGGCGUAAAGCGCACGUAGGCGGCUUUGCAAGUUAGAGGUGAAAGCCCGGGGCUCAACUCCGGAAUUGCCUUUAAAACUGCAUCGCUAGAAUUGUGGAGAGGUAAGUGGAAUUCCGAGUGUAGAGGUGAAAUUCGUAGAUAUUCGGAAGAACACCAGUGGCGAAGGCGACUUACUGGACACAUAUUGACGCUGAGGUGGCGAAAGCGUGGGGAGCAAACAGGG
rnacentral:rRNA from 1 species